rnacentral:tRNA from 1 species
UGAGCUAUAGCCAAGUGGCAAGGCGUUGGGUUUUGGUCCCGAGAUCACAAGUUCGAAUCUUGUUAGCUCAG